AGGGGUAUCUAGAAUAUAGGAGAUUUUUUUCUAUGUGAGAAUAAUUCUCAGGUUCCUCAACCAGUCCACGUAAUUGGAUCCGGUCAACUUGUUGGCAUCUAGUAUGCCAUGCAGUGAAAGUGAGGAUGUCAUUAUACAGAUCAAUCUAUAAUAACAAGGAACCAAUAUAAGUGGAUAACUCAUGAUGACAUACACAACUAGAUUAGAUCUUUUAUCUAAUUGUUACUCUCAC
rnacentral:lncRNA from 1 species